rnacentral:sRNA from 1 species
AGUGGACGGCACGCCGCGGCGGGGUGGGUGCAAGAUGCCGCUGCCGGUUCAGGUGUUUAACUUGCAGGGGGCCGUGGAGCCCAUGCAGAUCGACGUGGACCCCCAGGAAGACCCGCAGAAUGCACCCGACGUCAACUACGUGGUGGAGAACCCCAGCCUGGUACGGAGCCCAGUGGGGGGACCUUAGGUGUCAGUCCUGCUGAGGGGUCCAGGGCAGACUCCCCGCUGCAGCCUGCACAGCAGGUGGAAUGAUCCUUCUCCGUGAUCUCUGUCGUCUUUUUCUGACCCUGAAACCAUCAGCGUUUCUGAUUGCGCACUCACAUGAGGCUUGUAGCCCAGCUUCAGACGCUGCUCAUGGAGAAGCCAGGGCAGGUCUCCUCCCCGCUCAGCCUGGCGACCAGCAGUCACUACUGGGUGUCUAUCCCCGAAAGCCCCCCAGUGCAGGGUCCCACUCCCGAGGCUCCUGCCCCAGGCCCACCCCAGCGGUCUCUGCAGCGCCUGGGACAGCAGUCAGUCUCACACCCCCAUGCCCGGUUCCUGUUAUGGGCCCAGGGCGACAUUCUGGCUGGGACAGUCG